rnacentral:tRNA from 1 species
CCUUUUUUGGCAGAAAAGUGCAUUAAAUUUAGAAUUUAAAUAUAAUUAGUAGUUAAAAAGGA